GAUGAACGCUAACGGGAGGCUUAACACAUGCAAGUCGAGGGGCAGCAUAGGGUAGCAAUACUCUGAUGGCGACCGGCAAACGGGUGAGUAACGCGUAUGCAACCUACCCUGUACAGGGGGAUAACCCGGAGAAAUUCGGACUAAUAUCCCGUAAUAAUAUCCGGAGGCAUCUUUGGAUAUUUAAAGUUCCGACGGUACGGGAUGGGCAUGCGUAACAUUAGCUGGUUGGUAAGGUAACGGCUUACCAAGGCUAUGAUGUUUAGGGGUCCUGAGAGGGUGGUCCCCCACACUGGUACUGAGACACGGACCAGACUCCUACGGGAGGCAGCAGUGAGGAAUAUUGGUCAAUGGGCGCAAGCCUGAACCAGCCAUCCCGCGUGCAGGAAGACGGCCCUAUGGGUUGUAAACUGCUUUUCCAGGGAGAGAAACUUACGCACGUGUUGCGUGACUGACGGUACCCUGGGAAUAAGCAUCGGCUAACUCCGUG
rnacentral:rRNA from 1 species